AAAUUGCUGUGAUGACAUCUAAUAGGACGGUAUCUGAGCGACGGAUCUAUCCUCGCGUGAUUAUACCUAAACUGUGACAAAAUGUCUGAGCAAAAC
rnacentral:snoRNA from 1 species